rnacentral:rRNA from 2 species
UGGCUCAGAUUGAACGCUGGCGGCAGGCCUAACACAUGCAAGUCGAACGGUAACAGGAAGCAGCUUGCUGCUUUGCUGACGAGUGGCGGACGGGUGAGUAAUGUCUGGGAAACUGCCUGAUGGAGGGGGAUAACUACUGGAAACGGUGGCUAAUACCGCAUAACGUCGCAAGACCAAAGAGGGGGACCUUCGGGCCUCUUGCCAUCAGAUGUGCCCAGAUGGGAUUAGCUUGUUGGUGAGGUAACGGCUCACCAAGGCGACGAUCCCUAGCUGGUCUGAGAGGAUGACCAGCCACACUGGAACUGAGACACGGUCCAGACUCCUACGGGAGGCAGCAGUGGGGAAUAUUGCACAAUGGGCGCAAGCCUGAUGCAGCCAUGCCGCGUGUAUGAAGAAGGCCUUCGGGUUGUAAAGUACUUUCAGCGGGGAGGAAGGUGUUGUGGUUAAUAACCGCAGCAAUUGACGUUACCCGCAGAAGAAGCACCGGCUAACUCCGUGCCAGCAGCCGCGGUAAUACGGAGGGUGCAAGCGUUAAUCGGAAUUACUGGGCGUAAAGCGCACGCAGGCGGUCUGUCAAGUCGGAUGUGAAAUCCCCGGGCUCAACCUGGGAACUGCAUUCGAAACUGGCAGGCUUGAGUCUUGUAGAGGGGGGUAGAAUUCCAGGUGUAGCGGUGAAAUGCGUAGAGAUCUGGAGGAAUACCGGUGGCGAAGGCGGCCCCCUGGACAAAGACUGACGCUCAGGUGCGAAAGCGUGGGGAGCAAACAGGAUUAGAUACCCUGGUAGUCCACGCCGUAAACGAUGUCUACUUGGAGGCUGUGCCCUUGAGGCGUGGCUUCCGGAGCUAACGCGUUAAGUAGACCGCCUGGGGAGUACGGCCGCAAGGUUAAAACUCAAAUGAAUUGACGGGGGCCCGCACAAGCGGUGGAGCAUGUGGUUUAAUUCGAUGCAACGCGAAGAACCUUACCUGGUCUUGACAUCCACAGAAGUUUGCAGAGAUGCGAAUGUGCCUUCGGGAACUGUGAGACAGGUGCUGCAUGGCUGUCGUCAGCUCGUGUUGUGAAAUGUUGGGUUAAGUCCCGCAACGAGCGCAAC